CUGAGGACGAGAGACCAGUUGAUAGACAGCGGCGUAAGAGUGGUUAAGAACAAGCCCUAAACUAAAGCCGAACGCUCUCAAAGCUGUUAUACGCACUCGAGAGUAUGAAGUUCAAUUACGAAAGUGGCUUUACUUAUUCUGAACCCACGAAAGCUAGGGCACAAACUGGGAUUAGAUACCCCACUAUGAC
rnacentral:rRNA from 1 species